GAGCUGGGUGGAGCUUAGAGGAAUUAAACUUUGGCCCUGCGCCUCGUCCAGCCUAGGUUCCACCCUUUUCUGGGAAAGUGAGUAUCAACCAAGUUCACACCCCGCCACUCCUGAGCACCGCACACCGGCUUCCUCCCAGUCCCUCAUCUGAGAACUCAUGAAGCCACUUGGAAUCCCUCUCUGCUUUGCCUGGCUCAUUCCAUGUCAAUUUCAGAUCUUCGCUUCAGGUCAGCUCCAAGGAGGCUAUCCUUGCCCAUCUUCCUAAAAUAGAGCUCUCAAAACCUGGCUGUUUUCCUUCAGAGCACUGGCCUCCAAUUGCACCGGUAGAUGGCAAAUAACAUGCUUUCUUUCUGUUCCCGGGCUGCGUUCGGACCCCUGUCGGAGAGUAAAUCCCAACUAAGGUACCUGCCGUCGGCAGAUUUGAGCUUUCUUCUUGGACACGUAUUACCCACAGUCCUCCAGACUCUGGUAGAUUGCAUAUAACCUGCUUUCUUUCUGUUCCCGGGCGGCAUCAGACCCGUCGGAGAGUAAAUCCCAAGUAAGGUACCUGCCG
rnacentral:antisense_RNA from 1 species